AUAAAUUGAUUGUGAAAUUCUGCGGCUGCGGCUUAAAUACGCAAUCUUUAAUACAACUUUCGUCUACCCAUUUCGUCCGCCCGCUUCUUGAACAAGACCAAUCCCGCCUCUCGUCUUCUUUGAAACCCUAGAACCCAACAAAGUUUUUACUGCUAGCUUUUUACCUCAACUAUCACGAGUGAUCAACAAAAUUACUUAACAAAGGGAUGAAGUCUAGAAAACAGAGACCUGCACGAAACUCAACACAACCAAUCAUCUUUUCGGUGCGCAGUUUAUGGUAAACACAAGAAUUAGCAAGAAAUUUGUUUUGUUAUUGAGAUCACAGUAUCCACUAACUGACACAAGAGUGCAAUCAAGAUCAUGUAACGAGUAGUACAUACUUGAGAAUUAAGCUCAACAUCUCUCCGCCAUAGGUAAUACCUUCUGAGAAGAUGGUGCACCAACUGAAGAAUACAGAAGCAGGUUAGAAAUUUUCAGGAUCAAAAGACGGCCGCCUAGCUAGAAGAGAACCAAGAAGCAGAUCAGAUGCAUUAAUCACCAAACCUGGUUAAGAAGAACUCUAGAGGGGUGGCUCUGCUGAAGAACAUUUCUUUAAUACCAUGAGAUGAAGUUUGAAAUAGUUUCAAAAUCUGAUCUUAUUGAUGUGGUUAGAUUUUGAUGUUUACAUUUGUGACUCCCAUUUGGAAAUACUUGUAGUUUUGGUAUCUGUAUCCGGAUCUAAUACAGAUAAACAACAAUAAAAUUUGAAUGUCUCUAACUAAGUUUAGUUUCUAUAACAUAGCUUCUUUCAAACAUAAAGGCAAUUGAGUUUCACAACUGCAUGUUUUUCCUCGGAAAUGACCUGAUUAUUCAGUAUAAUACUUGUUUGUUUUUAGUAAUAAUUCUAUACUUGCUGGAUGAAUGCCCAUAUAGAGCAUUUUGAUUCUGUCCUUUACUUCCAUUUUGGAAGAAGUUUGAAUUUCCAUGAUAAGGAAGUUAGUUUCUA